rnacentral:lncRNA from 1 species
AGAGACGUCAAAGGUUCACGGUGAAAGCUGUAGGAACAAGUCCUCCGCUUCAACUCUGGGACUGUUGCCAUCUCUAUUAGUGAACAAGCUCUGGAAUGUACCUGAGAAAUGAUAUGCAUGCAGGGAUUAGUUUUUUUUUCUUUUCUUUUUUUUUCCCUUUUUUUUUCUUCUCUUUUUUUUUUAUUGCGUAUUUUUUUGAAAAUAAACAUGCUAUGAUGCAAAUGAUGCAGACACGACUGGUUGGCUGUGUCUCUCAGAACACAGGAUCAAAGCUUCGGCUUGAACUCGGAACCACAAAUUCAUCUGAAACCCAAAGUCAUCUGAGACCCCAAAAUUCUGAACCAAUAGUCACCAACAGGAUCACAAGUCACCAACAAGUCACCAACAAGUCACCAACUGUACCUGUAAUAAUGAUCAUUCCCUCCCCACUCACGGGUGUCAUCUAGGCCAGGGUAAGGUCGAGAGAAACGCAGCAUAAAUAAC